rnacentral:rRNA from 1 species
GGGUUGUGAGGUUAAGCGACUAAGCGUACACGGUGGAUGCCCUGGCAGUCAGAGGCGAUGAAGGGCGUGCUAAUCUGCGAUAAGCGCCGGUAAGGUGAUAUGAACCGUUAUAACCGGCGAUACCCGAAUGGGGAAACCCAGUGUGACUCGUCACACUAUCAUUAACUGAAUCCAUAGGUUAAUGAGGCGAACCGGGGGAACUGAAACAUCUAAGUACCCCGAGGAAAAGAAAUCAACCGAGAUUCCCCCAGUAGCGGCGAGCGAACGGGGAGGAGCCCAGAGCCUGAAUCAGCAUGUGUGUUAGUGGAAGCGUCUGGAAAGGCGCGCGAUACAGGGUGACAGCCCCGUACACAAAAGCGCACAUGCUGUGAGCUCGAUGAGU